rnacentral:tRNA from 1 species
GGGAAGGUGGUGCAGUGGUAGCAUGCUUGCCUUGCAUGCAUGAGACCCUGGGUUCAAUUCCUCACCACCACA